UACAGAGGGGGCAAGCGUUGUUCGGAAUUACUGGGCGUAAAGGGCGCGUAGGCGGCCCGCUAAGUCGAACGUGAAAUCCCCGAGCUCAACUCGGGAACUGCGUCCGAUACUGGUGGGCUUGAAUCCGGGAGAGGGAUGCGGAAUUCCAGGUGUAGCGGUGAAAUGCGUAGAUAUCAAGAGGAACACCUGAGGUGAAGACGGGUUGCUGGGCUGACACUGACGCUGAGGCGCGAAAGCCAGGGGAGCAAACGGG
rnacentral:rRNA from 1 species